rnacentral:rRNA from 1 species
AGAGUUUGAUCCUGGCUCAGGAUGAACGCUGGCGGCGUGCCUAACACAUGCAAGUCGGACGGUGGUCAAUUUCGGUUGACCACAGUGGCGCACGGGUGAGGAACACGUAGCUAACCUGCCCUGGAGCGCGGGAUAACGCCCCGAAAGGGGUGCUAAGACCGCUUACGCUCGCUGGCUGUAGAGGCCGGCGAGGAAAAUCUUUGGGUGCUCUGGGAGGGGGCUGCGGCCCAUCAGGUCGUUGGUGCGGUAACGGCGCACCAAGCCGACGACGGGUCGGGGGUCUGAGAGGAUGAUCCCCCACACUGGGACUGAGACACGGCCCAGACUCCUACGGGAGGCAGCAGUGAGGAAUCUUGCACAAUGGGGGCAACCCUGAUGCAGCGACGCCGCGUGGGCGAGGAAGGCCUUCGGGUCGUAAAGCCCUUUUCUGCGUGACGAGGAAGGACGGUAGCGCAGGAAGAAGCGUCGGCUAACUACGUGCCAGCAGCCGCGGUAAAACGUAGGACGCAAGCGUUAUCCGGAGUUACUGGGCGUAAAGGGCGUGCAGGCGGCGGUUCAAGUGGCUCGUGAAAGGCCCCGGCUCAACCGGGGGAGGUCGGGUCAGACUGAAGCGCUAGAGGACGUUAGAGGGACACGGAAUUCCGGGUGUAGUGGUGAAAUGCGUAGAGAUCCGGAGGAACACCAGUGGCGCAGGCGGUGUCCUGGGGCGUACCUGACGCUGAGACGCGAAAGCAUGGGGAGCGAACGGGAUUAGAAACCCCGGUAGUCCAUGCCGUAAACGAUGCCGACUAGCUGUCCGCCGCGAGGUGGGUAGCGCAGCUAACGCGAUAAGUCGGCCGCCUGGGGAGUACGGUCGCAAGGCUAAAACUCAAAGGAAUUGACGG